rnacentral:sRNA from 1 species
ACUCGAGCGAAGCGAGAGAACGUUGCCGCAGGCAAUGGCCCGAAGGCGAGGCGCUUUAGCGCCGAGUAAUCCUUACCCCACCACUG